UAAGGAAUAUUGGUCAAUGGACGCAAGUCUGAACCAGCCAUGCCGCGUGGAGGAUUAAGGCCCUCUGGGUUGUAAACUCCUUUUAUCUGGGAAGAACUCCACGUUUUCUUAUGUGGUUGACGGUACCAGAGGAAUAAGCACCGUCUAACUCCGUGCCAGCAGCCGCGGUAAUACGGAGGGUGCAAGCGUUAUCCGGAUUCACUGGGUUUAAAGGGUGCGUAGGCGGGCAGGAAAGUCCGUGGUGAAAUCUCUGAGCUUAACUCAGAAACUGCCAUGGAUACUAUUUGUCUUGAAUACUGUGGAGGUGAGCGGAAUAUGUCAUGUAGCGGUGAAAUGCUUAGAUAUGACAUAGAACACCGAUUGCGAAGGCAGCUCACUAAACGGCGAUUGACGCUGAGGCACGAAAGCGUGGGUAGCGAAC
rnacentral:rRNA from 1 species